GAUGAACGCUGGCGGCGUGCUUAACACAUGCAAGUCGAACGGAAAGGCUCCUGCUUGCAGGGGUACUCGAGUGGCGAACGGGUGAGUAACACGUGGGUGAUCUGCCCUGCACUUCGGGAUAAGCCUGGGAAACUGGGUCUAAUACCGGAUAGGACGAUGGUUUGGAUGCCAUUGUGGAAAGUUUUUUCGGUGUGGGAUGAGCUCGCGGCCUAUCAGCUUGUUGGUGGGGUAAUGGUCUACCAAGGCGUCGACGGGUAGCCGGCCUGAGAGGGUGUACGGCGACAUUGGGACUGAGAUACGGCCCAGACGCCUACGGGAGGCAGCAGUGGAGAGUAUUGCACAAUGGGCGCAAGCCUGAUGCAGCGACGCCGCGUGGGGGAUGACGGCCUUCGGGUUGUAAACUCCUUUCGCUAGGGACGAAGCGCAAGUGACGGUACCUGGAGAAGAAGCACCGGCUAACUACGUG
rnacentral:rRNA from 1 species